rnacentral:rRNA from 1 species
UGGGGAAUAUUGCACAAUGGGCGCAAGCCUGAUGCAGCCAUGCCGCGUGUGUGAAGAAGGCCUUCGGGUUGUAAAGCACUUUCAGCGGGGAGGAAGGCGAUAAGGUUAAUAACCUUGUCGAUUGACGUUACCCGCAGAAGAAGCACCGGCUAACUCCGUGCCAGCAGCCGCGGUAAUACGGAGGGUGCAAGCGUUAAUCGGAAUUACUGGGCGUAAAGCGCACGCAGGCGGUCUGUCAAGUCGGAUGUGAAAUCCCCGGGCUUAACCUGGGAACUGCAUUCGAAACUGGCAGGCUAGAGUCUUGUAGAGGGGGGUAGAAUUCCAGGUGUAGCGGUGAAAUGCGUAAAGAUCUGGAGGAAUACCGGUGGCGAAGGCGGCCCCCUGGACAAAGACUGACGCUAAGGUGCGAAAGCGUGGGGAGCAAACAGG